GGCGCCGUGGCGGAGUGGUUACGCAGCGGUCUGCAAAACCGCGUACGCCGGUUCAAUUCCGGCCGGCGCCUCCA
rnacentral:tRNA from 1 species